GAGUUUGAUCAUGGCUCAGGAUGAACGCUAGCUACAGGCUUAACACAUGCAAGUCGAGGGGCAGCGGGUUGAAAGCUUGCUUUCAAUGCCGGCGACCGGCGCACGGGUGCGUAACGCGUAUCAAACCUGCCUCAUACUCGGGGAUAGCCUUGCGAAAGUAAGAUUAAUACCCGAUGUUGUUGCUUUCUCGCAUGGGAGAGUAACCAAAGAUUUAUCGGUAUGAGAAGCCUGCGUUGGAUUAGGUAGUUGGUAGGGUAAUGGCCUACCAAGCCGACGAUCCAUAGCUGGUCUGAGAGGAUGAUCAGCCAGACUGGAACUGAGACACGGUCCAGACUCCUACGGGAGGCAGCAGUGAGGAAUCUUCCACAAUGGGCGAAAGCCUGAUGGAGCAACGCCGCGUGAAGGAUGAAGGCCUUCGGGUUGUAAACUUCUUUUAUGAGUGAAGAAUAUGACGGUAACUCAUGAAUAAGCACCGGCUAACUACGUGCCAGCAGCCGCGGUCAUACGUAGGGUGCAAGCAUUAUCCGGAGUGACUGGGCGUAAAGAGCUGCGUAGGCGGUUUAAUAAGUGAAUAGUGAAACCUGGUGGCUCAACCAUACAGACUAUUAUUCAAACUGUUAAACUCGAGAAUGGUAGAGGUAACUGGAAUUUCUAGUGUAGGAGUGAAAUCCGUAGAUAUUAGAAGGAACACCGAUGGCGUAGGCAGGUUACUGGGCCAUUUCUGACGCUAAGGCACGAAAGCGUGGGGAGCGAACCGGAUUAGAUACCCGGGUAGUCCACGCCGUAAACGAUGGAUACUAGCUGUUGGAGGUAUCGACCCCUUCAGUAGCGAAGCUAACGCGUUAAGUAUCCCGCCUGUGGAGUACGGCCGCAAGGCUAAAACAUAAAGGAAUUGACGGGGACCCGCACAAGCGGUGGAUUAUGUUCUUUAAUUCGAUGAUAACCGAAGAACCUUACCAGGGCUUGACAUCCAGGGAAGGUCUGCGAAAGUAGACUGUGCCUUCGGGAACUCUGAGACAGGUGCUGCAUGGCUGUCGUCAGCUCGUGUUGUGAAAUGUUGGGUUAAGUCCCGCAACGAGCGCAACCCUUAUCCUUUGUUGCCAGCGAUUUGGUCGGGAACUCAAAGGAGACUGCCGGUGAUAAACCGGAGGAAGGUGGGGAUGACGUCAAGUCAUCAUGGCCCUUACGAGUAGGGCUACACACGUGCUACAAUGGCGUAUACAGAGGGAAGCGAGAGUGCGAGCUGGAGCGAAUCUCACAAAGUACGUCUAAGUCCGGAUUGGAGUCUGCAACUCGACUCCAUGAAGUCGGAAUCGCUAGUAAUCGCAAAUCAGAAUGUUGCGGUGAAUACGUUCCCGGGCCUUGUACACACCGCCCGUC
rnacentral:rRNA from 1 species